rnacentral:rRNA from 1 species
UGGGGAAUAUUGCACAAUGGGCGCAAGCCUGAUGCAGCCAUGCCGCGUGUAUGAAGAAGGCCUUCGGGUUGUAAAGUACUUUCAGCGGGGAGGAAGGCAGUAAAGUUAAUACCUUUGCUCAUUGACGUUACCCGCAGAAGAAGCACCGGCUAACUCCGUGCCAGCAGCCGCGGUAAUACGGAGGGUGCAAGCGUUAUUCGGAAUUACUGGGCGUAAAGCGCACGCAGGCGGUUUGUUAAGUCAGAUGUGAAAUCCCCGGGCUCAACCUGGGAACUGCAUCUGAUACUGGCAAGCUUGAGUCUCGUAGAGGGGGGUAGAAUUCCAGGUGUAGCGGUGAAAUGCGUAGAGAUCUGGAGGAAUACCGGUGGCGAAGGCGGCCCCCUGGACGAAGACUGACGCUCAGGUGCGAAAGCGUGGGGAGCAAACAGG